AGAGCAUGACUGGGCAUAAAGCGGGCGCAGACGGUUACUUAAGCAGGAUGUGAAAUCCCCGGGCUCAACUUGGGAACUGCGUUCUGAACUGGGUGACUAGAGUGUGUCAGAGGGAGGUAGAAUUCCACGUGUAGCAGUGAAAUGCGUAGAGAUGUGGAGGAAUACCGAUGGCGAAGGCAGCCUCCUGGGAUAACACUGACGUUCAUGCCCGAAAGCGUGGGUAGCAAACAGGAUUAGAUACCCUGGUAGUCCACGCCCUAAACGAUGUCGAUUAGCUGUUGGGCAGCAUGACUGCUUAGUAGCGAAGCUAACGCGUGAAAUCGACCGCCUGGGGAGUACGGUCGCAAGAUUAAAACUUAAAAAUUAGACGGG
rnacentral:rRNA from 1 species